GAUGAACGCUGGCGGCGUGCUUAACACAUGCAAGUCGAACGGUGAAGCAGGAGCUUGCUCUUGUGGAUCAGUGGCGAACGGGUGAGUAACACGUGAGCAACCUGCCCCUGACUCUGGAAUAAGCGCUGGAAACGGCGUCUAAUACUGGAUAUGUGAUGUGACCGCAUGGUCUGCAUCUGGAAAGAAUUUCGGUUGGGGAUGGGCUCGCGGCCUAUCAGCUUGUUGGUGAGGUAAUGGCUCACCAAGGCGUCGACGGGUAGCCGGCUUGAGAGGGUGACCGGCCACACUGGGACUGAGACACGGCCCAGACUCCUACGGGAGGCAGCAGUGGGGAAUAUUGCACAAUGGGCGGAAGCCUGAUGCAGCAACGCCGCGUGAGGGAUGACGGCCUUCGGGUUGUAAACCUCUUUUAGCAGGGAAGAAGCGAAAGUGACGGUACCUGCAGAAAAAGCACCGGCUAACUACGUGCCAGCAGCCGCCGUAA
rnacentral:rRNA from 1 species